UACGUAGGGCGCAAGCGUUAUCCGGAAUUCUUGGGCGUAAAGAGCUCGUAGGCGGUUUGUCGCGUCUGCCGUGAAAGUCCGGGGCUCAACUCCGGAUCUGCGGUGGGUACGGGCAGACUAGAGUGAUGUAGGGGAGAUCGGAAUUCCUGGUGUAGCGGUGAAAUGCGCAGAUAUCAGGAGGAACACCCGUGGCGAAGGCGGCUCUCUGGGACGGUACUGACGCUGAGACGCGAAAGCGUGGGGAGCGAACAGG
rnacentral:rRNA from 1 species